GACGAACGCUGGCGGCGUGCUUAACACAUGCAAGUCGAACGGAAAGGCCCUGCUUUUGUGGGGUGCUCGAGUGGCGAACGGGUGAGUAACACGUGAGUAACCUGCCCUUGACUUUGGGAUAACUUCAGGAAACUGGGGCUAAUACCGGAUAGGAUCUCCUGCUGCAUGGUGGGGGUUGGAAAGUUUCGGCGGUUGGGGAUGGACUCGCGGCUUAUCAGCUUGUUGGUGGGGUAGUGGCUUACCAAGGCUUUGACGGGUAGCCGGCCUGAGAGGGUGACCGGCCACAUUGGGACUGAGAUAGGGCCCAGACUCCUACGGGAGGCAGCAGUGGGGAAUAUUGCACAGUGGGCGGAAGCCUGAUGCAGCAACGCCGCGUGCGGGAUGACGGCCUUCGGGUUGUAAACCGCUUUAGCCUGUGACGAAGCGUGAGUGACGGUAAUGGGUAAAGAAGCACCGGCUAACUACGUG
rnacentral:rRNA from 1 species